UCACGUUUAGCUCAAAGGUAGAGCGUCUUAUUACGAAUGAGAUGGUUAUUUGUUCAAAUCAAAUAACGUGAU
rfam:Dactylellina haptotyla CBS 200.50 unplaced genomic scaffold scaffold00324, whole genome shotgun sequence.